rnacentral:rRNA from 1 species
AGUGAACGCUGGCGGUAGGCCUAUCACAUGCAAGUCGAACGGCAGCACAGUAAGAGCUUGCUCUUACGGGUGGCGAGUGGCGGACGGGUGAGGAAUACAUCGGAAUCUACUUUUUCGUGGGGGAUAACGUAGGGAAACUUACGCUAAUACCGCAUACGACCUACGGGUGAAAGCAGGGGAUCUUCGGACCUUGCGCGAUUGGAUGAGCCGAUGUCGGAUUAGCUAGUUGGCGGGGUAAAGGCCCACCAAGGCGACGAUCCGUAGCUGGUCUGAGAGGAUGAUCAGCCACACUGGAACUGAGACACGGUCCAGACUCCUACGGGAGGCAGCAGUGGGGAAUAUUGGACAAUGGGCGCAAGCCUGAUCCAGCCAUACCGCGUGGGUGAAGAAGGCCUUCGGGUUGUAAAGCCCUUUUGUUGGGAAAGAAAAGCAGCAGGUUAAUACCCCGCUGUUCUGACGGUACCCAAAGAAUAAGCACCGGCUAACUUCGUG